UAUUUAAAGGUGAAUGUUACUGAGUUGGGUCACCACUGUGGGCAACUGCAGUUCAGUUCUCUUAGGGACCCUUUGAGGAACCGUGUCAGAUACGCCUCAAAAUUGCCCACCCAAGGGAUGUAUUAGAGGAGUAUUUAGCCUUUGGGUCUUGUUACUAUUGGUCAAGGGUCACCUCAUGAGAUAUUAAUUUUACCCCACUUCCAGGUUUAUGCAAACAUCAAAUGUAGCAUCCCACAUGGCAGCAGCAGAAAGGCACUGGGGUAGAAGAUGAGUGAUAAUGAGGUUAUCCCGGAAUGCAGUUGGUUGGCUGGCAUGCAAAGCAGAAUGAACAUGAUGGCCGAGGGAGGCUUCACCUGUACCAGUGUUUGGAAUGUCCCGUUCUGUGUCGUCCUGGAAGUUUUUACACCAUAAUUCAGUUCACAGUGUGUGAGAGGUGAGUCUUUUAUUCCUGAAGUGGAAACCCUCCAGUACCGAACAGCUGUGGAGGGGAAGGAAUGAAAGAGAAACAGGCUAAUCCUCCCCCAGGUUCUCAGGCAGGUCAGUUCUGGGAAGAUGUACAAAUAAAGUUGAAGACAUGAAAAUUGAUUUUUAAAAUAAUUAUCCAUACUCUGUACACCUCAGAAAGUCUUUGUCUUUUUCAGGGAUCUUCUCACUUUGUUGGAUAUCUGAAAUGUGUAUUUUUUUUUGAAACAGAGUCUCACUCUGUUGCCCAGGUUGGAGUGCAGUAGCACAGUCAUAGCUCACUGCAGCCUCAACCUUCUGGGCUCAAGUGAUCCUCCUGCCCCUCAGCCUCCUGUGUAGCUGGGACAACAGGCAUGUGCCAUCAUGCCCAGCUAACUUUUCAAUUUUUGAUGGAGACAGAGUCUCACUGUGUUACUCCGGCUGGUUUCAAACUCCUGGCCUUGGCCUCCCAAAAUGCUGGGAUUACAGGCAUGAACCACUAGCCUAGCCUCAGAUGUGUAUUACAAGCAUGAACCACUGGCCCAGGCUGAGGUGUGUAUUACAGGCAUGAACCACUGGCCCAGGCUGAGG
rnacentral:lncRNA from 1 species